rnacentral:pre_miRNA from 1 species
UGGUGAUGAUGGUGAUGAUGAUGAUGAUGAUGAUGAUGAUGAUGAUGAUGAUACGGGGAUGAGAGUAUCAUCCACCGACUUCUUCUCUCCAUCGUCACUUCACUUGCCGUCAUCAAAAUCUUCGGCGUCAUCAUCAUCAUCAUCAUCUUCAUCAUCGUUG